rnacentral:sRNA from 1 species
AUUCCAUGCCAUUACCAAGACUCGUUAUUGAACUCAAUAUUGAACUCUUGUUUGCUGCCUUAGCCAACGGAUCGAAGUAGCGUUGAGUGUUCCUUGAAGUGUCUGUCUCUGGUGCUAUGUUUGCGCCAAACUCUGACAUUUCUCCAUGCUGCGUUUGGGAAAUCACAGCUUGCCCGUCAAUUCCAAAUCGCUGGAAUAUGAGAGUUAAAAUUUUUUAACCCUGCUGUUCAUUUUUUCUUUGCCGAUAUGAAUAUUAAAAAUUAGUUAAAGUUCUGCUAAUGGCGUUUCUGAUACCCCAGCGGGAGGCAGGCAAAGCAACGAAAUCUCCUUUUCUCUUUGCUACAACUGUUACUUACAAUGAGUUUCCUGUACACUUUUCCAUUGGCUCUUUGGAAACUUAAAAUUUCCCUUAUCCAUGGGCAAUACUUUAAGUUGGGUGCGCUGU